ACAUGCAAGUCGAGCGAGAAACCACUUCGGUGGCGGACAGCGGCGAACGGGUGAGUAACACGUAGGUUACGUGCCCUUUGGUGGGGGAUAGCCCAGGGAAACCUGGAUUAAUACCGCAUAUGUCCUUCGGGAUGAAAGCCUUCGGGCGCCAAAGGAUCGGCCUGCGGCCCAUUAUUUAAUCCUGGAUGGUAAGGUAACGGCUUACCAUGGGUACGAUGGGUAGCUGGUCUGAGAGGAUGAUCAGCCACACUGGGACUGAGACACGGCCCAGACUCCUACGGGAGGCAGCAGUGGGGAAUAUUGGACAAUGGGCGAAAGCCUGAUCCAGUCAUGCCGCGUGUGUGAUGAAGGCCUUCGGGUUGUAAAGCACUGUCGGGAGGGAAGAAAGCUUCGGCUUGACGGUACCUCGCAAGAAAGCACCGGCUAACUCCGUGCCAGCAGCCGCGGUAAUACGGAGGGUGCAAGCGUUGCUCGGAAUUACUGGGCGUAAAGCGUACGCAGGCGGCCAAUUAAGUUGGAUGUGAAAGCCCUGGGCUCAACCCAGGAAUUGCAUUCAAAACUGGUUGGCUUGAGUGUGAGAGAGGGAAGUGGAAUUCCAGGUGUAGAGGUGAAAUUCGUUGAUAUCUGGAGGAACACCGGCGGCGAAGGCGGCUUCCUGGCUCACAACUGACGCUCAUGUACGAAAGCGUGGGUAGCAAACAGGAUUAGAUACCCUGGUAGUCCACGCCGUAAACGAUGUUUGCUAGGUGUUGGUGGAAUUUACCCCAUCAGUGCCGCAGUUAACGCAUUAAGCAAACCGCCUGGGGAGUACGGUC
rnacentral:rRNA from 1 species